GACGAACGCUGGCGGCGUGCUUAACACAUGCAAGUCGAACGGAAAGGCCCUUUCGGGGGUACUCGAGUGGCGAACGGGUGAGUAACACGUGGGUGAUCUGCCCUGCACUUUGGGAUAAGCCUGGGAAACUGGGUCUAAUACCGGAUAGGACUACGGCCUGCAUGGGUUGUGAUGGAAAGCUUUUGCGGUGUGGAGAUGGGCCCGCGGCCUAUCAGCUUGUUGGUGGGGUGAUGGCCUACCAAGGCGACGACGGGUAGCCGGUCUGAGAGGGGGUCCGGCCACAAUGGGACUGAGAUACGGCCCAGACUCCUACGGGAGGCAGCAGUGGGGAGUAUUGCACAAUGGGCGCAAGCCUGAUGCAGCGACGCCGCGUGAGGGAUGACGGCCUUCGGGUUGUAAACCUCUUUCAAUAGGGACGAAGCGCAAGUGACGGUACCUAUAGAAGAAGCACCGGCCAACUACGUGCCAGCCGCCGCAGUAAGAC
rnacentral:rRNA from 1 species